GCCUACGGCCAUACUACCCUGAACACUCCCGAUCUCGUCUGAUCUCAGAAUCUAAGCAGGGUCAGGCCUAGUUAGUAUUUAGAUGGGAGACCACCUGGGAAUUCUGGGUGCUGUGGGCU